rnacentral:lncRNA from 1 species
UCGAAAAGAGAUUUUUUGAACAUGCACCUCGACACUGGCAACUUGCCACCUAAAAUGCAAUUCAAAAAGCUCUCUCUCUCCUUUCUUUCGCUGAAACUAUCUCUUUCUCUCUCAUCCCGCCCAAACAUUCUCUCUCUUCCAGUAUUCGUGCUCUCUCACUCUCGCAGUAAAAAUCAGGUUCUCUCCCUCUGCAAAAACCAGGCUCUUUCCCAUCUCAAAAAAACCUAUAGAGCAAUGGAUUACUAUUUGAUAUCUUAAUUGCCUGAAAUUUCGAGCACCCGUCUUCCUCAGUUAUUUAUUUAUUUUAUUUUAUUCUGUCCAUCUUUGUCCGACGAUAUAAACACCGAACAUAGAAGGUUAUUAUUUGCAGAGAGAGUAGACCCCAAUCAAUUGAAAGAUAAACACGACACAGUCGAAGUUAGGUCCUUGUGGUGAGAUUUCAAUACCCAAGUACCCGUUUCUCACUCUAAACCCCAUACCUUCCAACAAUUCUUCGGUGUUUCUCUCUCUGAAACCCGUAUCCCCCAUCCACUCUCCAACCUUUUCUCUUAUCGAAGGUAGCUCAAUAAUCAAACCCAAGUGGUCAUUUCUCAGUUUUAAAGCCCAAUCUCUUGAUUCUUUGAGGAAAUUUGUGUUAAAGAUAGCUUUUUCAGUCGAAGUUCUUUAACCAACAGUUUCUCUCUCUAAAAGCACAACCAUUUUUGGUUCUAUGGUGGUCAUGGAGGAAGAUUCUUGUAAACCAAACCUAGUUUUGAACUUGGGUUCAGGUUUCUACGAGUUGCAGAUGAGAGAAGAUAGCAAGGGCGGAGAAGGCAAAGGAAAAGAAGAAGAGGUUUAGGGCAACACAAGGAAGAGGCUGAGGCUCCCCUGGUUUAACUCAAACAACCAUGCUCUCUCUCUCUCUAACAAAACCCAUCUCUCCCUCUCUCUGUUCUGCUGAUUAUUGUUGUAUUCCUUUAAUUUGAGCAUUGCUGUAUCCCUUUAAUGCUCAUCUGAUUAUAAUUUUCCUAUCUUCUAGCUAUUCUUAUUGCUUAGGUGUAUCAAUAUUGUCAAAAUCAGACAUCCUUGUUCAAUGCUUGCAUUAUUUUCCUUCAUUUUUUGUUACUGUAGAGAGUGCAUUUACACCACUCCUUGACAUUAAUGCCUUUCUAUGUUGAUUUUCCAUUAAGGUGAGAU